UUCUUUUUUCCUUCUUUAUCUUCAAUCUACUUUUCUCGGAUUCUUCUUUUACCAGACAGGGGUACAUUUAUGAAAUCUGAAUCUGAAAUCACAACUAAAAUUUAAACUUUUCGGUGGUAAAAUUGAGAAUUUUGGGUAUAAAUAAAUAAAUAUUUUAGAAAUGGCGAUGCCUUUAACGACGGCGGCGGGGGUCCAAAACGGCGGCGUUGGGGUAAUGGCCGGACCGGCAAUCGGGCAGCAGAUGGAAAUGGAUCAGAAUGGGACAGUGAAUAGAUUGAAAAGCUCGUCGCCAAUUCGGAUUUUCUUGUUUUUCCAUAAGGCAAUUCGGGCCGAGCUGGACGGGCUUCACAGGGCGGCCAUGAGCUUUGCUACGAAUUCUAAUGGCAGUAGUUGCAAUUGUAAUUCUGAUAUCAAGCCUUUGCUGCAACGGUAUCGUUUUUUCAGGUCAAUAUAUAAACAUCACUGCAAUGCUGAGGAUGAGGUAAUCUUUCCUGCGCUUGAUAUCCGUGUAAAAAAUGUGGCACGAACUUAUUCUCUUGAGCACGAAGGAGAAAGUGUGCUUUUUGAUCAGCUGUUUGCACUACUGGAUUCUGAUAAGCAAAAUAAUGAAAGCUACAAAAGAGAGUUGGCCUCUUGCACAGGGGCCCUUCGAACCUCAAUCAGCCAGCACAUGUCCAAGGAAGAGGAACAGGUCUUUCCAUUGCUCAUUGAGAAAUUCUCGUUUGAGGAGCAGGCUUCAUUGGCAUGGCAAUUUUUAUGCAGCAUUCCUGUUAAUAUGAUGGCAGAAUUCCUUCCAUGGCUUUCUUCCUCCAUUUCAUCUGAUGAGCGUCAAGACAUGCGUAAAUGCUUGUACAGAAUAAUCCCUGAGGAAAAACUUCUUCAACAGGUAAUAUUCACCUGGAUGGAUGGCAUGAAGAUUAACAAGAAGCGUAGAAGUUGUGAAGAUGAUAUAGCUAGCAACUUAAUUAGAGCAAGUGAGAAUAGGCCCUGCCCUUGUAAAUCUUCUAUUGCAGAAAAACGAAAAUUUUUCCCAUCAACCUCCAGUGGUCUAAGUCACCCUAUAGAUGAGAUAUUGCACUGGCAUAAGGCUAUUCUAAAGGAAAUAAAUGACAUUGCUGAAGCAGCUAGAAUGAUCAAAUCUUCUGGAGAUUUUUCUGAUUUGUCUGCCUUUAGAGAGAGGCUACAAUUUAUUGCUGAAGUUUGCAUAUUCCACAGCAUUGCUGAGGACAAAGUUAUAUUCCCUGCUGUAGAUGCAGGAUUAUCUUUUGCUCAAGAGCACGCCGAAGAAGAAAGUCAAUUUGAGAAGUUCAGAUGUUUAAUGGAAAGUAUUGAACGUGCAGGAGCAAACUCCUCUUCUGCUGAAUUUUGUUCAAAAUUAUGUUCACAUGCUGAUCAUAUAAUGGAUACCUUAAAGAAGCACUUCCAGAAUGAGGAAAUUCAGGUUCUUCCACUUGCAAGAAGGCAUUUCAGCUAUGAACUGCAGCGGAAGCUUCAGUAUCAGAGCUUGUGUGUGAUGCCUCUGAGGCUGAUUGAAUGCGUAUUGCCAUGGUUGGUAGGAUUACUAGAUGAAGAGGAAGCGAGAAUUUUUCUAAAGAACAUGCAUAUGGCAGCUCCAGCAUCAGACUCUGUAUUAGUUACACUUUUCUCUGGUUGGGCAUGCAAAGGUCGUCCAAGGAGCAUUUGUUUGUCCUCAGGUGGAAAUGGUUGUUGCGCUUCAAAAAUGCUGACAGAAUCACGAGAGAGCUUUGACGGAUUUUCUUGUGCCUGUUCCUAUUCAAGCAAGACAGGCCAAAGUAUUUUGAUUGGUGAGGCAGUUGAUGAUGAAAUUCCAGUAGAGUCUGGAGACUCCAUAAUACUGGAAGAAAGUACAAGUCUUGUUCCUGUGAGAUCUAUAGACCUCCAGAAAGCAAAUGUUAGUAAUCAAUCCUGUUGUGUUCCUGGGUUAGGAGUGAACAACAAUAAUCUGGGAACAAGUUCUCUUGCUGCAGGAAAAUCUUUGCGAUCCUUAUCUUUUGGUCCUAGUGCUCCUUCACUUAAUUCCUGUCUCUUCAACUGGGAAACAGACAUCAGCUCAAAUGAUUGUGGUUCUGCAACUAGACCCAUAGAUAACAUAUUUAAGUUUCACAAAGCCAUCCGGAAGGAUUUAGAGUUUCUGGACAUUGAAUCUGGGAAACUUGGUGAUUGUGAUGAGAUUUUCAUUAGGCAGUUUAGUGGCAGAUUUCGUCUUUUGUGGGGCUUAUAUCGAGCUCACAGUAAUGCUGAGGACGACAUUGUCUUCCCGGCUUUAGAAUCGAAAGAGACUCUACACAAUGUUAGUCACUCCUAUACAUUGGACCAUAAGCAGGAAGAAAAGCUAUUUGAAGAUAUUUCAUCUGCGCUCUCUGAGCUUUCUCAACUUUGUGAAAGUUUGAAGAGCAAAAGUAUGACAGGAGAUCCAAGUUCAGGAGAUGAUGACUCUUGCAGUACAACUAAUAGCCUGAGAAAAUAUAGUGAACUGGCUACGAAAGUACAGGGCAUGUGUAAGUCCAUCAGAGUAACAUUGGAUCAUCAUGUCAUGCGUGAAGAACUUGAGCUGUGGCCAUUAUUUGAGAUGCAUUUUUCAGUUGAGGAGCAAGACAAACUUGUUGGUCGCAUAAUUGGUACCACAGGAGCAGAGGUGCUUCAAUCCAUGUUACCAUGGGUAACAUCUGCUCUUACUCAGGAAGAGCAAAAUACCAUGAUGGAUACUUGGAAGCAAGCAACCAAGAACACGAUGUUCAGUGAGUGGCUAAAUGAAUGGUGGGAAGGUUCAGCUGCAUCAUCAGAGGCAUCAACAUCAGACAAUAGUAUUUCACAAGGCUAUGAUAUGCAUGAGUCACUGGACCAGAGUGAUUAUACUUUUAAGCCUGGUUGGAAAGAUAUUUUCCGAAUGAAUCAGAAUGAGCUUGAGUCGGAGAUAAGAAAGGUCUCUCAGGAUUCUUCUCUUGACCCAAGAAGAAAAGCCUACCUCAUUCAAAAUCUUAUGACCAGUCGCUGGAUUGCUGCCCAGCAGAAGCUACCUCAGGCAAGGACAGAUGAAACUGCUGAGGAUGCAGAUGUAAUUGGAUGUUCUCCAUCAUACCAGGACCCUGAGAAACAAGUGUUUGGGUGUGAGCAUUACAAAAGAAAUUGCAAGCUCCGAGCUGCUUGCUGUGGAAAAUUGUUUACAUGCAGGUUCUGCCAUGACAAUGUCAGUGACCACUCUAUGGAAAGGAAAGCAACAUCUGAAAUGAUGUGUAUGAAAUGCUUGAAAAUUCAGCCUGUUGGGCCUGUUUGCACGACACCAUCUUGCGACGGAUUUUCGAUGGCAAAAUAUUAUUGUAGUAGCUGCAAAUUUUUUGAUGACGAAAGGUAAAAAGUUCCAAAGAUCUUUCGCACUUCCCACUUUUUUACUUGUCUACAUGGAUGCAAAAUGUUUAAUAUAAUGUUUCAGGUAUGCGACAUAGAUAUAUAUAUAUGUCUGUGUGUACAUCCAGGUAUACAUGGUAUAUAUAUGUGUUUGCCUACCUGCUAAUUCAACCACGGAAGUUAAGUAGAUAGAUGCUGCUCAGUUGAGUUGUUAUUCAAUCUUAUAUGUAUAAACUAAAGUUGUCUGUGAAUAGUAUUUGAGGUUCUUCAUCAAUAUAGUUUGAAGUUAAACUGUUUCCAUUUUUUGUGUUCAUCUUGUUCCCUUUAUUUCCUUUUCUGUGCUUUUAUCACCCAUAUGCACUGGGACUGUUUUUUUUAAAGCAAAUAGGAGGGCAUUGAUCCUUUAACAGUGUGAUGAAGCACAACUAUAGGAAGCUACACGUAAAGGUUUCUGCAAUGAAAUGGUGUGGUUUCUGGUAUAAAUUGGUGGGGUUCCAUUGUCUUAUAUUGAACUUUUACGAUUUUAGUCCAGAAUAAUGGCCAGAUGGGGGCUAUAACAGAUGGCAACUUAAGAUGCAUCUGGUAUCGAUCUACUAUAUCUUGCUUGCUGAUAUAUUUUUUUUCCCUUUUUGUAACUUCAGGACAGUAUAUCAUUGUCCUUUUUGCAAUUUAUGCCGCGUCGGAAAUGGACUUGGUAUCGACUUCUUUCAUUGUAUGACCUGCAAUUGUUGCUUGGGAAUGAAAUUAGUAGACCACAAAUGCAGGGAGAAAGGUCUGGAAACCAAUUGCCCCAUAUGCUGUGAUUUUUUGUUCACAUCAAGUGCAACUGUCAGAGCUCUCCCUUGUGGCCAUUUCAUGCACUCAGCUUGCUUUCAGGCAUACGCUCGAACACACUAUGUCUGCCCUAUCUGUAGCAAAUCUAUGGGAGACAUGUCGGUAAGAGAACUCUUUCCUUACUCAGACUCGCAUUAUUCUUUCAUGACUAUUUGAUGGCAAUCCUUUAUGACUUUCCUGGUUACGAGAGAGAAUGAUUUACCUGUUACCAUAUUCUUGAAAAUCAAGUGAAAAUGCACUUUCACCUAAGCCUAGCAGUAUCAAGUAUGUGCAGGCAUCUUGUUCUGGAUAAAAUCUUUGUUUUUGGCCCUUUCCAGCCAAAUGCUCUCAAGAAGUUUUAUUCAUUAAGUGCAAUACUAACCAUUUGUUGUUUGGCUAAGUGCUCCAUCGUGUGUUGCUAGUCUUGAGUGUUUUGAAGUUAGGUCUUCUCUGGAGUGUUGAGGGAGAAUCUAUUGCUAACGUUGUCAAGCAACGAGUCAGAGGGCACUUUGAUUUGCGAUCUACAUACAUUUUUAAUUUGGAUUUUCUUUUCCAUGUAGGUGUAUUUUGGGAUGCUUGACGCUUUAAUGGCUUCUGAAGUGCUCCCUGAAGAAUAUAGAAACCGCUGUCAAGUAUAGCAGAUAUCCUGUGUCAUGAUUGCGACAAGAAGGGAUCAGCACCAUUUCAUUGGCUGUAUCACAAGUGCAGCUUCUGUGGCUCCUACAAUACCAGGGUAAUCAAGGUUGACUCAAAUCCCAACUGCUCGACAUAAUUAACCUUGGAGCAAGUCAUCUGGAUGAUUGUAGGUCUGCACGUACCUGAGCGUUGCCACAACUAUCUCUAGAUGCAAAUUCACAAUGGAUCCGGUACUCCAGAAAAGUUUUUAAGUAUCACUACAAACUCUUCACAUACGGAGUACUGAUCCAUCAAGUCAAUACUUGAGCCAUAUGCUCAUGCUGUCUUUGUGCCUCUGAUUUAGAUGCUCAUGCUGUAAGCUUUGGAGUUGCAAGACAGGUGAUUUCUUGAAGUUUGCAGUGGACUCUAAAGGACUGCUGAUAUUGGCUGUCGCACUGAUACUAGCUGCUAGGAUGGAAAGAAACGGGGCGAUCUUGGACUAGUGCAAGCAAUCAAGCUACUAAAAGAACCAGAUAGGGUUCAGUUCCAAUGGAUAGUUGUGGAAACCUAUUUACGUAGGUCGAGAUAUACAUCACCCAGGGGCUUUGUGUAGGAAAAAUUUUGUGGCGUCUGUUAUCGGGCUUUGUCAAUUUCCACGAGGACAAUUCCCAUUGAAUUUGGAAAAUAGUGACGAAAUUAUGCUUUACUGUAUUGGUAGAAUCCAAAAAUAGGGGGCAAUGAAGCAA